CCUACGGGAGGCAGCAGUGGGGAAUAUUGGACAAUGGGCGCAAGCCUGAUCCAGCCAUACCGCGUGUGUGAAGAAGGCCUUUUGGUUGUAAAGCACUUUAAGCGAGGAGGAGGCUCUUGAGGUUAAUACCCUUGAUGAGUGGACGUUACUCGCAGAAUAAGCACCGGCUAACUCUGUGCCAGCAGCCGCGGUAAUACAGAGGGUGCGAGCGUUAAUCGGAAUUACUGGGCGUAAAGCGCGCGUAGGCGGCUUGUUAAGUCGGAUGUGAAAUCCCCGGGCUCAACCUGGGCACUGCAUUCGAUACUGGCAAGCUAGAGUAUGGGAGAGGAAGGUAGAAUUCCAGGUGUAGCGGUGAAAUGCGUAGAGAUCUGGAGGAAUACCGAUGGCGAAGGCAGCCUUCUGGCCUAAUACUGACGCUGAGGUGCGAAAGCAUGGAGAGCAAACAGGAUUAGAUACCCUGGUAGUCCAUGCCGUAAACGAUGUCAACUAGCCGUUGGGGACCUUGAGUCUUUAGUGGCGCAGCUAACGCGAUAAGUUGACCGCCUGGGGAGUACGGUCGCAAGCUAAAACGUUAAUGAAAUUGACGG
rnacentral:rRNA from 1 species